UACGUAGGGUGCAAGCGUUAAUCGGAAUUACUGGGCGUAAAGCGUGCGCAGGCGGUUCUGUAAGACAGAUGUGAAAUCCCCGGGCUCAACCUGGGAAUUGCAUUUGUGACUGCACGGCUAGAGUGUGUCAGAGGGGGGUAGAAUUCCACGUGUAGCAGUGAAAUGCGUAGAGAUGUGGAGGAAUACCGAUGGCGAAGGCAGCCCCCCGGGAUAACACUGACGCUCAUGCCACGAAAGCGUGGGGAGCAAACAGG
rnacentral:rRNA from 1 species